ACACAAGAUAGAUUCUAGAUAUACCUGGAAUAUGUUCAUCCGGGUUCAGUUAAUAAGUGCAUUAGUCAACAUUGUGGUGCAAUGACAGAAUCUGUUGUCCACAACUUCACCUGCCAUAUCCUUAAGGGUCUUGAUUUCCUACAGAGCCAAAAAAUUAUGCAUAGAUCUGGAAAUAAGUUUAAAGGAAAGAUUUAGAAGGUGAAGGAGCUGAUAAAGAGCAUGCUAAAUUCUCACUGUCUUAAUCAUUUUUCGUGUACAACACCAUUCAUGUAUAGGUUUGGAGCUUUGUGCCGACAAGAAUUCUCUGAUUGGCAUCAUUUGCAGUAACUGUGGUGAUCCAGGACGCUUUCAAGAUUACAAGUUCAGUAGUGGCAACUUGAACUUAUGUAAGAAUAAACAGAAUGAUUUUUCAUUCUGAAGAGUUUCCUAACUGUUGACUUUAAGCCUUCAUAGUUACAUCGUGGGAUUAUGAAUAAGAUGGUGCUAAUUAUACUUUGAGUGAAUUUCUGGUGUGUAUUAUUCAGACUGGCCCUUGAACUAAAUAAAGAAAAGUCAAAGAUAGCGUGCA